GAUGAACGCUGGCGGCGUGCCUAAUACAUGCAAGUCGAGCGAACAGAUGAGGAGCUUGCUCCUCUGACGUUAGCGGCGGACGGGUGAGUAACACGUGGAUAACCUACCUAUAAGACUGGGAUAACUUCGGGAAACCGGAGCUAAUACCGGAUAAUAUAUUGAACCGCAUGGUUCAAUAGUGAAAGACGGUUUUGCUGUCACUUAUAAAUGGAUCCGCGCCGCAUUAGCUAGUUGGUAAGGUAACGGCUUACCAAGGCAACGAUGCGUAGCCGACCUGAGAGGGUGAUCGGCCACACUGGAACUGAGACACGGUCCAGACUCCUACGGGAGGCAGCAGUAGGGAAUCUUCCGCAAUGGGCGAAAGCUUGACGGAGCAACGCCGCGUGAGUGAUGAAGGUCUUCGGAUCGUAAAACUCUGUUAUUAGGGAAGAACAAAUGUGUAAGUAACUAUGCACGUCUUGACGGUACCUAAUCAGAAAGCAACGGCUAACUACGUG
rnacentral:rRNA from 1 species